GUGGGGAAUAUUGGACAAUGGGCGAAAGCCUGAUCCAGCCAUGCCGCGUGUGUGAAGAAGGUCUUCGGAUUGUAAAGCACUUUAAGUUGGGAGGAAGGGCAGUAAGUUAAUACCUUGCUGUUUUGACGUUACCGACAGAAUAAGCACCGGCUAACUUCGUGCCAGCAGCCGCGGUAAUACGAAGGGUGCAAGCGUUAAUCGGAAUUACUGGGCGUAAAGCGCGCGUAGGUGGUUUUGUAAGUUGGAGGUGAAAUCCCCGGGCGCAACCUGGGAACUGCCUCCAAAACUGCAUGACUAGAGUACGGUAGAGGGUAGUGGAAAUUCCUGUGUAGCAGUGAAAUGCGUAGAUAUAGGAAGGAACACCAGUGGCGAAGGCGACUACCUGGACUGAUACUGACACUGAGGUGCGAAAGCGUGGGGAGCAAACAGGAUUAGAAACCCCGGUAGUCC
rnacentral:rRNA from 1 species